UUUCGAUUUCUUCCACAACUUUUAUGAUAUCCAUCUGAAUGCAAAGCACUCAAAUGUUAAUCUAAGUGUUCAAAUGGACAUCAUGAAGGUGUGGGAGAAAUCGAAAU
rnacentral:miRNA from 1 species